rnacentral:rRNA from 1 species
AUUGAACGCUGGCGGCAUGCCUUACACAUGCAAGUCGAACGGCAGCACGGGUGCUUGCACCUGGUGGCGAGUGGCGAACGGGUGAGUAAUACAUCGGAACAUGUCCUGUAGUGGGGGAUAGCCCGGCGAAAGCCGGAUUAAUACCGCAUACGAUCUACGGAUGAAAGCGGGGGACCUUCGGGCCUCGCGCUAUAGGGUUGGCCGAUGGCUGAUUAGCUAGUUGGUGGGGUAAAGGCCUACCAAGGCGACGAUCAGUAGCUGGUCUGAGAGGACGACCAGCCACACUGGGACUGAGACACGGCCCAGACUCCUACGGGAGGCGGCAGUGGGGAAUUUUGGACAAUGGGCGAAAGCCUGAUCCAGCAAUGCCGCGUGUGUGAAGAAGGCCUUCGGGUUGUAAAGCACUUUUGUCCGGAAAGAAAUCCUUGGCCCUAAUACGGUCGGGGGAUGACGGUACCGGAAGAAUAAGCACCGGCUAACUACGUG